rnacentral:rRNA from 1 species
AGUGAACGCUGGCGGUAGGCCUAACACAUGCAAGUCGAACGGCAGCACAGUAAGAGCUUGCUCUUACGGGUGGCGAGUGGCGGACGGGUGAGGAAUACAUCGGAAUCUACUUUUUCGUGGGGGAUAACGUAGGGAAACUUACGCUAAUACCGCAUACGACCUACGGGUGAAAGCAGGGGAUCUUCGGACCUUGCGCGAUUGAAUGAGCCGAUGUCGGAUUAGCUAGUUGGCGGGGUAAAGGCCCACCAAGGCGACGAUCCGUAGCUGGUCUGAGAGGAUGGUCAGCCACACUGUAACUGAGGCACGGUCCAGACUCCUACGGUAGGCAGCAGUGGGGAAUAUUGGGCAAUGGGCGCAAGCCUGAUCCAGCCAUACCGCGUGGGUGAAGAAGGCCUUCUGGUUGUAAAGCCCUUUUGUUGGGAAAGAAAAGCAGCAGGUUAAUACCCCGCUGUUCUGACGGUACCCAAAGAAUAAGCACCGGCUAACUUCGUG